AUACCAGUCGCCCUCUCGAGCUGACUCUAAUGCAAAUGGUGUCUUCCAGACCAAAGCUGGCAUGUGGGAUUUAGUCUUAUCCCAGAAAGGAAAAAGAUUUGAGUCGGAUGUGCCUUCAAGUAGUGGAAUUAUGCGAUCUGGUUCCCUGUCCAAACCCCAGCAGGAGGUGUUUCAAAGCAAAGCUGGAAUGUGGGAUUCUUCUUUUCUUAGAGGCUUUUCUGGUCCUAAUGUGCAGCCUGCCAACUCAAAUGUUGAUCCAGGAAGUUCAAGACCAAUUCCCAUGGCAUCCCCGGACCAUCCCAAGUGGCAGCAGCCACUGGUGCGUGUUUAAAACGGACACCAGUGACCUCGAGUAUCUUCACUGUUCCUGACCGCAGUCUGUCUUGGCAUCAUCUUUUUAUGAAAUUCAAUAAAGUACUUUAAACUGAA